CCUUCGGGUACAAUUGAGACAGGUGGUGCAUGGUUGUCGUCAGCUCGUGUCGUGAGAUGUUGGGUUAAGUCCGUAACGAGCGCAACCCUUGUCCUUAGUUACCAGCACGUUAUGGUGGGCACUCUAAGGAGACUGCCGGUGACAAACCGGAGGAAGGUGGGGGAUGACGUCAAGUCAUCAUGGCCCUUACGGCCUGGGCUACACACGUGCUACAAUGGUCGGUACAAAGGGUUGCCAAGCCGCGAGGUGGAGCUAAUCCCAUAAAACCGAUCGUAGUCCGGAUCGCAGUCUGCAACUCGACUGCGUGAAGUCGGAAUCGCUAGUAAUCGUGAAUCAGAAUGUCACGGUGAAUACGUUCCCGGGCCUU
rnacentral:rRNA from 1 species